rnacentral:rRNA from 1 species
GAUGAACGCUGGCGGCGUGCCUAAUACAUGCAAGUCGAGCGAACGGACGAGAAGCUUGCUUCUCUGAUGUUAGCGGCGGACGGGUGAGUAACACGUGGAUAACCUACCUAUAAGGCUGGGAUAACUUCGGGAAACCGGAGCUAAUACCGGAUAAUAUUUUGAACCGCAUGGUUCAAAAGUGAAAGACGGUCUUGCUGUCACUUAUAGAUGGAUCCGCGCUGCAUUAGCUAGUUGGUAAGGUAACGGCUUACCAAGGCAACGAUGCAUAGCCGACCUGAGAGGGUGAUCGGCCACACUGGAACUGAGCCACGGUCCAGACUCCUACGGGAGGCAGCAGUAGGGAAGCUUCCGCAAUGGGCGAAAGCCUGACGGAGCAACGCCGCGCGAGUGAUGAAGGUCUUCGGAUCGUAAAACGCUGUUAUUAGGGAAGAACAUAUGUGUAAGUAACUGUGCACAUCUUGACGGUACCUAAUCAGAAAGCCACGGCUAACUACGUG